AUGAACGCUGGCGGCGUGCCUAAUACAUGCAAGUCGAGCGAACGGACGAGAAGCUUGCUUCUCUGAUGUUAGCGGCGGACGGGUGAGUAACACGUGGAUAACCUACCUAUAAGACUGGGAUAACUUCGGGAAACCGGAGCUAAUACCGGAUAAUAUUUUGAACCGCAUGGUUCAAAAGUGAAAGACGGUCUUGCUGUCACUUAUAGAUGGAUCCGCGCUGCAUUAGCUAGUUGGUAAGGUAACGGCUUACCAAGGCAACGAUGCAUAGCCGACCUGAGAGGGUGAUCGGCCACACUGGAACUGAGACACGGUCCAGACUCCUACGGGAGGCAGCAGUAGGGAAUCUUCCGCAAUGGGCGAAAGCCUGACGGAGCAACGCCGCGUGAGUGAUGAAGGUCUUCGGAUCGUAAAACUCUGUUAUUAGGGAAGAACAUAUGUGUAAGUAACUGUGCACAUCUUGACGGUACCUAAUCUGAAAGCCACGGCUAACUACGUG
rnacentral:rRNA from 1 species